AGUGCUUGCACUGUUGUGCCGACGGACCGGCGCACGGGUGAGUAACGCGUAUCCAACUUCCCAUGAGUAGUGCAUAGCCCGGCGAAAGUCGGAUUAAUUCACUAUAUGUGGCAUUUCGGGCAUCUUUAUGUCACGAAAGAUUCAUCGCUCAUGGAUGGGGAUGCGUCUGAUUAGGCAGUCGGCGGGGUAACGGCCCACCGAGCCAUCGAUCAGUCGGGGUUCUGAGAGGAAGGUCCCCCACACUGGUACUGAGACACGGACCAGACUCCUACGGGAGGCAGCAGUGAGGAAUAUUGGUCAAUGGGCGCAAGCCUGAACCAGCCAAGUAGCGUGCAGGACGACUGCCCUAUGGGUUGUAAACUGCUUUUGUACGGGGUAAAGUGUGUCACUUGUGGCAUAUUGCAAGUACCGUACGAAUAAUGACCGGCUAAUUCCGUGCC
rnacentral:rRNA from 1 species